rnacentral:rRNA from 1 species
AUUGAACGCUGGCGGCAGGCCUAACACAUGCAAGUCGAGCGCGCGUCGGACGGGUGAGUAAUGUAUCUGGGCUGCCCCAUAUAGGGGGAUAACUCCUGGAAACGGUAUCUAAUACCCCAUACUAUCGCAUUCCCCAUAUGGGGUUGUCUCGUAGGUGUGGUAAUGGCUCACCUAGGCGACGACCCCUAGCUGGUCUGAGAGGAUGAUCAGCCAAACUGGAACUGAGAAACGGCCCAGAUUCCUAGGGGGGAAGCAGGGGGGAAUAUUGAACAAGGGGCGCAGGCCUGAGGAAGCCAUGCGGCGGGUAUGAAGAGGGCCCGAGGGUGGAAAGUACUUUCAGUCGGGAGGCGUUACCGACAGAAGAAGCACCGGCUAACUCCGUGCCAGCAGCCGCGGUAAUUC